ACAAGAACUUCAUAAGUGGACAAGGUGGGCUUGAACUUGCAACACUACUGACUGAGCCUCCCAGAAUUACAAAAAAAAGCCCAGACUAC